rnacentral:misc_RNA from 1 species
AGCUUCUCGAACUUCACUUUCACCAAGAUUUUCUUCUGCAUCAGCAAUCUUCUCAUCGAGUUUUUUAAGCUCAUCAGCGUUCUUAACACGCAUAGGAUCAAGAACCUCCAGAUUCAAACUAAAAACCCCUUUUGAAACUAGGGUUUCAAACAACGGAGCCAUAUCAUUGGAGACCACAGCUUCCAAGACUUCUUCACGAAGACGAACUUUAUCCAAGUCAUUGACAUCUGGAUGUGUCAAAAGGAAUAGUUUGUGUGCAAGAACUAGCUGGGGUUGUUGGGUUCCUUCUUCCGAAUCCAUAGUUCUCUCUCAAAGAUUUCACUAGUUUUCAGAU